rnacentral:rRNA from 1 species
CAAAAACAUGGCUCCUUGAAUCUAAAUAAUAAGGAGUCGGACCUGCCCAGUGAAUUUUUAACGGCCGCGGUACUCUGACCGUGCAAAGGUAGCAUAAUCAUUUGCCUUAUAAUUGAAGGCUAGUAUGAAUGGUUUGACAAGAAUGAAGCUGUCUCUUUAUAAUUUUAUAGAAUUUUAUUUUUAGGUGAAGAAGCCUAAAUAAGAUUAAAAGACAAGAAGACCCUAUCGAGCUUGAAAAAAGUUAGUAGGAUUGAUUAAUUAAUAUUUAUUAAAAAAUUAUCUAUUAUAUAUUUUAGUUGGGGCGACUAAGGAACAUUUAAAGCUUCCUUUAUAAACUAAUAAAAUCGAACUAGAGUUGAUCCAAAAUUUUUUGAUUAAAGGAAUUAGUUACCGUAGGGAUAACAGCAUUAUCUUUUUUAAGAGCUCAUAUCGAAAAAAAGGUUUGUGACCUCGAUGUUGGACCAGAAUAUCCUAAAGGUGCAGCAGUCUUUAAGGGUUGGUCUGUUCGACCAUUAAAAUUCUACGUGA